AGCCCUGCCUGAAAGCUUCCCCGCCUGGCUCAGCCGCAUGGGAAGAAAAAGGUUGGUUUGCUCUUUGUUAGCUUGUAAGAAGCGUCUGCUGAUGGGGCUGAGUGGGUCUUUAAUAGAGCAAAGAGGGAAAAUAAUUUUGUUCAUUUUAUCAUCAGUUUCCUAGAAAAGGCUCAAGAGAAUUGCAAUGCCAGAUUCUGGACAGAAAAUUAUUUCUGCGAGAAAGCAGACGCUGAGCUACAGAACUAGGCCCUGGAAAGUUAGCCCGGAUCCUUGUAAAGUAGACUGGAUGUUUUCUGAAGAAAUCUUCUAACGUUCUUCUAGGGACUAGAUGCCAGGGUAUGUGCCAAUGUCCCACUCCAAUGGAGAACUUCUUCAGCAGUGACGGUGGCCAGGUGAAGAAAGGAAAAGUAACAGGAAAGCAUUGGAGGCUGGCGUGUCAGAAGUGGGAGAUAAACCAUGAUGUUCUGUCUGCUGGAUGAACAGAAAGAAUCUGGACUGCAAACAGCAAGGAGCUGGUCCCCCGCAGCCAGGUAUGAAUCUCCCAUGUGUUUCCAUUUCACCUGCAAAGACGAGCUAAAC
rnacentral:lncRNA from 1 species